AGCAGACAAGAAGCUCGAUGUUUACAGCACCUCGGAUUGUAUCCUACCCUUUGGCUGCCUUUGCGCGUGCGCAAAGGCCCCCUUUACGGGCAAGAAGGAUUCGAACUUGGAGAAGGUUGCCUCUUUUACAACGGCGGGUGUGGAGCCGCCGAAAGAUGACGCCCGAGGUUUUGUGGUGUGGGGAAAGGACAGUUUGGGGGCCAGAUGCAGUACCCUGGCCCCGAGCCCCGCUGCGCCUCCUCCUUCCUGGCUCUGUGAUCCUGGUCGAGUCAUUGCUCGGCUCUGACACACUUGGUCCGCUCAGCUGCGCAGUGGGAUCAGGUGCACUUGAAAAUGAACCAUGGAGUGAAUCACGAGCCUUAUCUGAUUCCCACCAGCCCAGGAUGUUCGAUCAGGCAGCGCAUACUUGGAAGUUCACAAACGCCCCAUUUUAGAAGUCCCUCUAUAUCCCUCUCCCCCCCAGCAAUGCCCACACUUGAUUUUUUAAAGAGGACUCUAAGCCGAUGCUAUUACCUCCUUUAAUGGGAUCAAUGAUUUGGAACACCUUCAUUACUGUAAUGUUUCCAUAUUACACUAUAGCAAAAAUAAUCAGAAAGUGAAAUGCAAACUUAUCGAGCCUACAGCACUUGAACACUGCAUGUAUUUGUAACCACCGAGCACUGGGAAUGUCCUUCAACUAGACUGACAAACUUGGUGAAGUCAUUCGGUGGGAACUACUCACGACAGGAAGGAACAGACCACUGUCGUGUAAAACCACGUGGACGAACCUCAGAACAACGCUGUGCAGUGAAAGAAGACAAUUUCUAAAGGCUACAUGUCGUCUGCUUCCAUUCAUAGGACAUUUUGGAAAAAGCAAAACUAUAGGAACGAAGCAGAUCAGGGGUUGACAGGACAUAAGGCUGUGAACAGAGGGGCAGAGAGAAAUCCGGGGGACGAUGGGACGGUUCUGUGUCUGGACGGUGGCAACGGCUGCAACAACUUGUCUGCAUUUCUGUUCUGUCAGAACCUGCAGAACUGCCCACUGAAUGGGGUACGCUUUACUGUGUGCGAAUGGUAACUUUAAAAAUGAAAAAAGAAAUGGGAAAUAAAGCAAAUGCUUGGCGCCGAGGGACUUACAACAUAUGGAAUAGUGUGCAGCCAUUAAAUGCUUUAUUUUGAGUUGAAGCACAUUUAGGAUCACGAGAAAAUGCUUGUGCUGGCAUGUUGAGAGGAGAAGUGGGGCACCAAACUGCAGUUACCGUAUGAUCCUAGUUUUGUGAGACAGGUACACACUGAUGAUGACAAGAAAGCACGUACGCGCGUGUAUGAAUAGAAAAAAGCCAAGGAAAACGACAGCGGAGCAGAAUGGCAGCCAGGGUGACCUCUGGAUGUCAGGAUCACGAAUGACGGUGUUUGUCUGAAUACGUUUGCUUAGCUUCUAAAUAUCCCCCUGCAUUUUCACUCCUUUUACAAUGAAGGGAAAUCGUUAACAUCAUUAUUGGAAAAUAUUCUGAGGGGCAGGAGCAGCCCUGCUACCCUGGCUCCACAGUGGCCGGUGAGCUGCACACUUUGCUAGCAGCCAGCCGGGGCUCAGGGUGUGUGGUCUUCACUCCUCCCGGCGGGACGCUCAGGCUUCUGCAGUGGCAGCCGCGGCGUGGGCUGCCGAACUCUUCCCUUUGCUCCUGGAGUUUUA